rnacentral:lncRNA from 1 species
UUUUUUUUUUUUUUUUUUUUUUGCCAUUUCUUGGGCUGCUCCUGCGGCAUAUGGAGGUUGCCGGGCUAGGGGUCGAAGCGGAGCUGUAGCUGCCAGCCUACGCCAGAGCCACAGCAACGCAGGAUCCGAGCCACGUCUGCGACCUACACCACAGCUCAAGGCAACGCCGGAUCGUUGAGCAAGGGCAGGGAUCGAACCCGCAACCUCAUGGUUCCUAGUCGGAUUCGUUAACCACUGCGCCAUGACGGGAACUCCCUGGCUGUUUUAUAACACACAUAGUGUAUUAAUUCAGUAGUACACACACACACACACACACACACACACACACACACAAACACACGUGUGUAUAGUAAGUCCUCAAUUUUAUUUUUAAUUUACUGCUAGGAAUUUCUGAUAAUAAAGUUUGGAAACUACCACUUUAGAGCAAGGAAAGCUAUUCUUUGAGGCAGGAACCACAUCUCUUUCUUAUUUUGUUUUCUGUUGAGAAAGCGAUGAGCUCCUCACAAUGGCCAUCACUAUAUGGCCUGAUCUCUUGGCGGACCCGCUUGCUUUAUGAAGCAGACCUGGUGCACAUACUUUCUCCUCCUCCCAGGAUGCCUCAGCUGCUCCAUAAUCACCCAGGAGACUUGAGAAGAGCUUGAAAAGCCAAGAGAAAUGUGGGUAUAGGGGAACAGUCUCUCUUCAGCUUUGCUGACUUUUGCUAAGAUAGAUGGCUUGUCCAGAGAUAGCCAGUGUUACUCCACUCCAAUUUUUGCAUGCUUUCUUUUCCAGCUCUUGUGAAUUUUUGCUUCCCCUUCUGUGCCAAAUAAACCAGAACAGUGAGACUCAGCCUGAAAUCACAGGCUCCUGGACCUCUAUGCUUGUUUUGAAAUUUGAAGGAAACCACCAAUUCUAGAUAAUCCCCAUUUGAUUGGAAAAGGGGAACAGAGCUUGUAACAGAUUUCAGAGAUUUCCUAAGGAUAUCUUCCCUGACCAUGAAAGCUAUUUAAGAUUAACUUGGCGAGGACAGCCAUGUUCCGGAGGGAUUCAGCCACAGUUUGGGGACCAAAGCCUGGGCAAUCAGUCAUCCUGGCCACGUUCUCUACAAGCACUCUUCCGCAGCCACCCAGGGAGCGAAAGACAGGAAGACCCAGAGAGGCUCUGCCCCUGGCAAAAAAGUGUUCAGAUAAACCUACUCCCUUCAUCAGUGUUUUAACGAAUUCUGCCCCCUGUUUUAACAAGAUGUGCCUAAGGCUUCACAGUCUGAAAAUUAGUUUCUAUAUACUUCAAUACUGUACCUAGACUUUUUUGUACAGUCUUUAGUCAGCAACUUCCAAUUAAGAAAUAAGUAGGGAGUUCCCACUGUGGCUCAGUGGGUGAAGAACUCGACAUAGCCUUCGUGAAAAUGCAGGUUCACUCCCUGGCCUUGCUUAUUAGUGGGUUAAGGAUCUGGCUUUGCUGCAAGGUGCAGUGUAGGUCACAGAUCUGGCUGGCUGUGGCUGUGGUGUAGGCCUGCAGCUACAGCUCCCACUCAACCCCUGGCCUGGGAACUUCCUUAUGCUCCAGGUGCAGCAGUAAAAGGGAAAAAGAAAAAAGAAAUAAAUAGUAAGCCUUAAUAGCACUGAAAUAUACUAUCAGAUUAUUUAUUCUUUCCUCUCUUCUUCUGAAAGCAUAUCUCAAUGUAUCAUCUCUUUUUAUUUUCGUGCCAGUCUUCUGAGGAAGCUCAUCCUAGGAUAGUUAUGAACAUCUUCUCACCCUCCAUAUUGUCAAAUCUUUUGGGAACCUCCGGCCACUUGCUCAGUUCAAAGUCUUACUCCUCUCAAGAGUACCUGUGUUGAAAUCAGGGAAGAGAAAUAAAUGGUCCAAGGUGAACAGCAAGACCCCCUUAAAUGAGUACCCCACAGAAGACUGGUUCCUUCUUUAACAUAAGCGAGGGCUGUGUUGUUUGCUUGAAUCUGGAGAUGAAGGAACUGAGUGAGGUUCCACCACUAUUAUUAACAGCGAUAGCAAUAGAGAACUCGACUUGCAUAGCAUUUCCUCUAAGCCCACACUCUUCUAAGUGCUUCACACAGAUUAAUCUGUGUAAUCCUCAAACAAUUUUAUGAUCCUAUUGCCCUUAUUUUCAGAUGAUGAAACUAAAGUCCUUAGAGGGUAAUUUGCCUGAGGUCACAAUAGCCACUGAAUGGCUGGAGUCACAACCUAGGCGUCUUAUCAGUGAUUUGUCCUAAAUCAUGAAGCCAGUCAGUGGCAAGAACGAGGACACUGAAUUUCGGUCAGGUCAAAUACACUUUUCCCUGGACUAAACUUUGCAUUCCCUGAUUUGGUUGCUUAUAACUUAUUUAACUUUUCAUAGCUUGAGCUACUUAUUCGAAGGGCCAGUUCUAACUUCACUUUGUGGCUGAAGGUUAGAAGUUCUGUUUCUGUGCUGCCUAUACACUUCUUGGAGAAAUCAUUUUCCAGACUAGUUUAUUGGGAGAUCAUUUUGCUGGUCCAUUUCUGCAUGUAGCACUACAGACAAUGGAAUUCUAAGGAAUACCCCAGGUAGCAGAUUCUGAAACUCUGGGCUAAAUGGAAAGCACCAGAAAAGGCCUCGGGACAGGUAAACCACUCCACCUUUAAAGGCUUCCUGGGGAGACAGCAAUUCUACACAGGGCUCCUCCUUGUGUUUGACAACCGCUUUCCCUGGCAGCAAGUUCCCUUUUCUAAUCUGAAUCUUUCCAACUGCAGCUUAAUCACCAGUCCCUGAGUGCCCGCUAUGUGCCAGGCACUAAGAGUUUAUCUGCAUUAUCUCAUUCAAUCCUCUAAGCAACCCCAGGAAGGAAGUGUUGUUAUUAUCCCUCUUUUUUUUAGAUGAGGAAGCUACACACAGAUAGGUUAAGUAACCUGCCCAAAGUCAAACAAUUAGUUAGUGGCAUAGCCUAGAUGGGAAUAUAGACGACCCCCUCAGAAGAACAAUUUAUAACCAUUAUAACAGGCUGCCUCCCUGUUGAGGCUCCAUUUCCUGUGUACAAGACCCUGUCUAGAGAGAAGGGCUAUUUGUUGGUGUCUGGAUCAUAGGAUUGGAUGCCUGUUAUUGCAUUGGUUCUGCCUUUAAAAAACCCAAAAAACAAAAAAAACCCCACCCCAGAUAAUUAGCUUUGAAAAGCCCUUAAGUUCAAUGUUCAUUGAAUGUAGGAGGUGACUAAUUGUGGUUGGGAAUACUUUGCAGGGCAUGUGUAUAAUCACCGGCCGGAAUGGAUGAUGAAAGGCCAUUGUGGUCUCCCCUGCUGUGGGGCAGAGGUCCUUGUAGCCAGAUGGCCUGACUCCCGUGGUCCCAUGUUCCUGUGCUUCCAUAACCUUUGGUGCUCACCUGAUACCUCUGACAUCGUGCAUGCUCCUCUGAAGCUUCCUUUUUCAGUGAGAUGUGUAAGAUGAAGGGAUAUGGUGCCAAGUGGCUGGACCAGACCUAUACCUACCUGUGCAUUCCAGGAAGCAGGCCUUGUUUUCUAACAAUCUCACAAAAUGCUUUGGGAUUUCCAACAUUCCCAACCUCUUAUCACCAAAGGAGAAACAUUAUUGCUCUACCAAUAGAGCCCUAAUUUGUGUGACAGAAAUAGGGCAUCAUGUUGUUGGCAGACACUGUAAGUGCACUACACAGCAUUUCUUCAUGACUGUUAAAGUGACUUUACACAAAGAUGGUUCUAUACAUACCUCUCAGGACUGGAACGGAACUGGCUCAAUAAAUGUAAUAUGAAGAAUUAUGGUGGGCCCAGAUCUUUAAAAAAUUUUACUUUUAAGAAAUGCUGCACCUGGAAUAUAGCCAAUAUUUUAUAAGAACUUUGGAGUAUAAUCUAUAAAAAUCUUGAAUCACUAUGAAAUUAAUACCGUAAAUCAAUUAUUUAAAAAAUGCUGCACUUGAUGUUCCCUUCCGGCUGCCCAUUCCUUCACCUUACAGUCAGAUUAAUCUUUCUAAAACACAAACGUGAUCACAUCGCCUCCUCCUGAAAAACCCACGAGUCCCCAUUUCUGCCAGGCUGCAGUGCCGUGUUGGUGCGAAGCGCCAAGACCCCGCUUUGCUCUUUGCUCCACUUCUCUCCCGUUGCAAUUUACUCCAUAACUAUUCUUCUCUCCUGCUUCCUCUAACCUCCAGCCUCACACAAGCCCUUCCCUCUGCCUGGAACAAGCUCUCCUUUACCCUCCCCCAGGCCACACACUUCUCCUUUGUCUAAUACUGAGUCAUCUUUCCCUGGUCCUCACUCAAGCCCUCACACCCAUUAAACUGGGCCAGGGGCCUGUGAUGUGCUUCCCUCGCCCCAGCCCUUAUCACCCUUCAUCAUACUUACAUGGUUAAGUGGCCUCCUCCUUAGGCAGCUCUGUGAGGGCAGAAAACAGGUGUCUUACUCACUUUGCUGCAGAUGGGGUGUGGCAUAGAGUGGGACUCAGUAAAUAUCUACUGAAUGAAUAAAUGCACAAUAUUAUCUCCAGGAUCUAUAGAGCUGUUUCUGUCAGAACUUAAAAGAGGAUCCCACAAAAACUGCUAAUACCUGAACCAGGCUACUAGAGAGAGCUGAAGAAAUAGAUACAUAUAAACGUACAUACAUACACAUCCUCUUAACCAAACUCCUCAUCUGGACUCAAGGAGACAGCUACACUAUCACUGGGAAGCCUUCCACCCAAGUGAGCCAUCAGUCUUCUCCCAAACUCCCAACCACAGGAUGGCAGUAAUUCCUCUUCGCCCUACCUGGGAGUUCUCCAAAGAUGUUUGUCCUGGGUCAGUCUUAUGAUCAAAAGUGACAAAUGUGUCCAAAAUGGAACUGAAGCCAAUGUAUUCACUUCCUUAACCAGGGACUGAGAAGCACUCCUUUGGCAUGGGUUUUGUUUCAGACUUUGAUCUAGGAAUCAGUUUCCUGUUGCUAACAGCAUGCCAAACAUGUCUACAUUUCACCCAGACAUAUGUUCCAUCACUGAUUCUACUAAUGCAGUGGUUUUCAAAUAUCACUUUGUCUCCCACCCCCGCCCCACCUCACACCCCCAGAGAUAUUUGGCAAUGUCUGGAGUCAAUUUUGAUUGUCACAAUUUAGAAGGGAUGCUCCUGGCAUCUGGUGAGUAGAGCUAAGGGAGGCUGCCAAACCUCCUACAAUGCACAGGACAGCCCCUGUGCAAAGAAUGAGCUCACCCAAAAUGUCAGUGGUGUUGAGCAGCCCUGAGUCGGGGUGACACUCUGUAGCCACCUUAGCGCAAGAGAACCAGGCCCUGCUUGCCUGUGUGGUGUUUUCCAUGAUGUAUGAAAACAAAGAAGAGAAGAAUAAAUUAAAAAGCAAUAAGAAGACUGUGGUUCUUCCCCUGCCUGUGAUUUAGAAAUUAAGAUGCACAACCUAUCUCUACAAUAGAAUAUUUCAGUUUGGGGAGGCUUCCUAGGCAGAUCCCAGCCUCAAACCCAUGAAUCUGCUAUGGAAAUCUCUUAAUACGAGUCAUUUAGUGUGGAACUGAACAGACUCUUGAACAUGAAAAGAAGUUUUGGUGAAUUCAAAACCAUAUUUGUUUCACACUGAAAAUGUUCAGGUCAUUUUCUUUUCCUAAAGUAUAACCAUUUGGACAAAAAUAUCCAUUUGAUAUGCAGGUGAAAUGUAGAUUGCUACUCUUCUACACAGACAAUCCAGUGUAUUUAGACUUAAUCCAUAAAGGCAUGAUGUUACAAAACACAUUUGUAUAUUGUGAAGCCAUCUGGCAUCAAAUUUUCCAAUUUAUAGACAACUUUGUAUUUACAUAACAAAUUAUUAAAUCAACCAUUUUUUCGGUUUAUAAAAGGUCACUGCAGUACACACACAGUGUGUAUAAAAGCAGAUAAGGCUGAUAAUACAUAUUUACAGUAGAUACAAGUUAAUCUUUCAUAUUUGAAGAUAAUGCUUUUUAUAUAUUUUUUUCUAUAUCAGACUUCCCACUGUUAGCAGGAUUUCCCAUGCUUGAGUUGUUUAUUGCUUUUUGGCUCACUGAUUGAAUAUUCACUUCUGGGUUGUUUACACAUAUGAAUUACUAAUGUUCUUAUCUCUUUGGCUAAUGCAAAUGUGAUAGAGUGAAUGAAAGAAAAAGAUAGACUAAUUCAAUAUUACAGUUCUGGCUGAUUGAUAUUAUUUGCUUCUGGUCCCCAAAUGAAUCAAGUAAUGCACAACUCAUUUUAUACAUUACAUUGAAAAGUCUUGAGUCUUGCAUUACACCAUUUGGGCAUAAAUGGGCAAAACGAACAGGAUAUCAGAUUUUUGGUAAGGUCUAGAAUCUUGGCUUUCUUUACAGAAAGAGCAAUGUCACCAGCAUCUUAAUAUUUUAGAUUUAAAAAUAUCAAUGCAAAACCACUUGUGGCUUACAAGGGCACAUUGCAAACUGCAUGGAAGAUCACCAAAGUUAACGAAAACGUGUUACUGUGGUCUGAAAUGAAAAAAGAAUCACCUCAUGGGAUAAGUCAGCUGAGAAUCUUCAUAAAACUUACAGAAAGCAGAAUAACCACCCUCUACUUCUCCCCACAUUCUGCAGUGUUAUGUUCAAAAAAAGAAACUGUGUUUACUUAGAACACAGACAUAGCAAAUAACUCAAAGUCAGGGUUCAAAUGAAAGACUAAAAGUGGCCCAUGACAUCACAAGGGAUGAGUAUUCUUCUCAAAGAAUUUACAUGCACAAUGAGACUGAAAAGUACAAGCCAAAAAUGUCCCUCUAAAUAAAUAAAAACCGAUUGCUUUUAAUGCUACAAACAAGACAAAUUAAACAAAAGUUGCUCAAUUAGGUCUCACACAUUUGAAAUAAUCUUUAAAAACCACUGAAAAGUGUAGUUUAUUCUCCUUGUGCUUCCUAAAACUUUUAAAGGGCUCAAAGCAAAAUUAGAUUUCCUUUUCCAAGAGGGACUAUUACGUUUCUAAAGGUGCAAAAACUUUUCUUUCUGUUUCCAUUCUCAGAUUGGUUGAAAAAAAGUUUAUUUUCGGAAAUAAAAAAUGUACUAAGGUCAAAGGGCUAGGCUUCAUUUAAAAAAAAUGAAUUGGCUUUAAUACAAAGAUAAAGAAAUGGCUGUGUGGGCAAAAUUCAAGUAUGAGUGACCAAUGUUUUAAUUGUAAAGUAGGUGCAACAUUUAAAAAAAUGUUACAGCACUGCAUGACCUGUAAUGCUAACAAUAUUUGCAUUAACUGCUUACAUGAGAUUGAAUAACUAUUAAAAGAGAGGAAAAAAAAAAACCCACGUGGACUGAAACAACACCUAGCACCCACAUGAAGCCGCAAGCAACCAGUGACAUCAUGGGCACAAACAUACUUUACAUUGUCUCUGAUGUAAAGUAUACAUGGGUGAGAGAAACACAAACCUAAUUAGCUUAAAAUAGUAAAAAGAAGGCUUGGUAGACACAAACUCGGACUGUUGACAAAAAGCAAAGGUUAAAAAAACUUCUACAUAUCAACACCACCCCCCACAUAUAUGCAGACACUCCUAAAACACAAACACACGUAUGCUGUGAAUCUGUGAAGAAAAUCAACCAUGCGGAUGAACAGUAGAAAAGCAGAUUGAU